AACGAACGCUGGCGGCAGGCCUAACACAUGCAAGUCGAACGCUCGUAGCAAUACGAGAGUGGCAGACGGGUGAGUAACACGUGGGAACCUUCCCUAUGGUUCGGAAUAGCCCAGGGAAACUUGGGGUAAUACCGGAUAAGCCCUUCGGGGGAAAGAUUUAUCGCCAUUGGAUGGGCCCGCGUCGGAUUAGCUAGUUGGUGGGGUAACGGCCCACCAAGGCGACGAUCCGUAGCUGGUCUGAGAGGANGAUCAGCCACACUGGGACUGAGACACGGCCCAGACUCCUACGGGAGGCAGCAGUGGGGAAUAUUGGACAAUGGGCGCAAGCCUGAUCCAGCCAUGCCGCGUGAGUGACGAAGGUCUUCGGAUUGUAAAGCUCUUUUGGCGGGGACGAUAAUGACGGUACCGCAGAAUAAGCCCCGGCUAACUUCGUGCCAGCCGCCGCCGUAA
rnacentral:rRNA from 1 species